GGCAACCGAAAAGUGAAUCAAGCAUUUGUUCAGAGGUCAUACCUUUCCAACACUACGUGAAAAGGAGCAGCUCACAUAAAAGGGAGAGGGCCACAGACAAGCUCUGAAUCCCAGACUGAGCACAUCUCUUCACAUGGAUGACAUUGAUGAGUAUAUGAAGAAGUGGGCUCCCCUCUUAAUUUGCUAAUGGAAGUAUAAACUGGUACAAUUUAGAGCAACAGGUCUCAAAUGACUUUGACUCAGCUUCAUUUCUACAAAUAUCUGAAAAAAUCAUGGGAAUGUGAUAUUCAUAUGAAGAAGUCCUGAAAAGAGCAGAGGGUCUGGGAAUCCCAUCUCUACAACUGUCACAAUCCCAUCAGACCAACACCUGAAACUGCCGGAAAGCUGGUGGAGACCUGCCCGCCACCCCCUGCCCCCGCAAAAGGCAAAUACGGUGAGGAAGCAAUCAUUUAUCUCAAUGGAUUCUAUGAUAAAAACCAGCUAAAGAAUCAGCAAAGUCAGAGGCUGUGCCUUCAUUUUACCUACGAGUAGUAUGCUUAACCAAAGUUACACGCUUGUUGGAUAUCCCAUAGGUAGUAUGCGCUAUAACCAAAUCAGCCCAGGUCUGAUGCUCUAAGUACAGGGCUGUAACUUAGGUCUUGAGAUUUAAAAAUAAUACAGCCUCUUCAACACAAAGCAGUAGAUGGUAUCCUAUAAAUACUUGACAGAUUUACGAUUUUUUUUGCCCAUAGAAGGUAUUAUAUUUAUUUAACAGUCAUGUAAGAAUGAACUGCAAUACCCAAGCAAAAUAAGAUCCAGUGCAGGUGAAACACCUAUCUCAAGUUUUAAUUGCCUUUCAUCGAUUUUGAGCCCCAACUCAGUUGUUAAUAACAGUGGCAUGGUUCUCUCAAGUGCUAGAACGCAUAUAAAGCUUCUCAGGUGAACAGAAAACUCAAGACUUAAUUUUAAG